GCGUUCGUCUCUUGUCUCUACCGACGACGAUGACCGCGAGUCGUGCAGCUUUUGUUUCGACAGCGUAGUCCGUGAAGCGGUGUUCCGUAGCGACUUCGUCGUGACUGCCUCAGAGAACGUCUAGUACUGCCUUUGCUUGAUUGACGGACGUCGAGGGCGAAACAGAGCGAAGGUGCUGCAAUGCGCUGCCUUGCCACAACAAGAGCAACACAGUAGGAUGACUAAAGGACGCAACACUUCUGGACGGGAAUUACAUGUUCAAGAAUUGUUUUAAAAUGUACAAGGAAGAUAUUGGCAUUCUCCUUGCGCCAUCAGCUGUUCAACAUCUGCGAGCUGCAAAGGCUCUCCUGUAUGACAAGGAAGCAGUAGACGCGUCAUUCGCA